GUAUGUUCUAUUCCAUAUGUGUCUCUGGGACAGGGUUUACAUUGCUUCCCAGAGUGCAAACCUGUAAAAAAGAGCACACUAACUCCAAGUGAAGAAGAGGAAAGUUUGUUUAGUAUCCUUUUACACCAGAGGUGGAGAACCCUCCUCCUGAGAACUACUGUUUUGUAUCCUUUUACACCAGAGGUGGACAACCCUCCUCCUGGAGAACUACUGUUUUGUAUCCUUUUACACCAGAGGUGGAGAACCCUCCUCCUGGAGAACUACUGUUUUGAAGCCUUUUAUACCAGAGGCGGAGAACCCUCCUCCUGGAGAACUACUGUUUUGAAGCCUUUUACAUCAGAGGUGGAGAACCCUCCUCUUGGAGAGCUACUGUGUAUGCAGGCUUUUGUUCCAGCCCUGCUCCAACACACACUCUACAUUUACAUUUUAACCUAGAACCGAGCUCUGGGAGACAGCAGUAGUGAGAGUACGUGGUGCUGACACAGAUCCUCUCCAUUCCACCUGGUUGGAGCAGUGCAAGAUUGUGCAGAGACUUAGACACCCAGCCCUGAGAGGGUGGAGAGGAGGAUCUGAUGGUCCACAGUGUCAAAUGCAAUAGAUAGAUCUAGGAGGAUGAGAACAGAGGAGUGAAAGAGUCAGCUUUGGCAGAGCGGAGAGCCUCCGUGACACAGAGAAGAGCAGUCUCGGUUGAGUGAACCAUCUUACUUCCAUUUUGAAGUCAGAAGGGGCGCAGCCAGUGGUCAGGGAUGAGUUGAUGAGGGAAGUGAGGAAUGGGAGAAGGUCUCCUGAUAUGGGC
rnacentral:lncRNA from 1 species